CCUAUUUUUUCGUAUCAUCGUUAUUAUUUUUUAAACAAUUUCUUAGUGAUUUCUUUCUCGGUAUUUAAACUGUUCUUUUAUUUUUCUCUUCCGUGGAUGCCGUGUACUUUGGAAGCUUAUUUAGACCGAGUCGAUGACCUUUUAGAUUUUCUCCACGUGAAUAGGAUUUCACUUUUUAAAUAAUAAAAAUUACCCGUCAUAGAGGACAUCGGGAUUUUAGAGAUGUCUAAGUGAGGCAUGGUCGGAAAAGGUUGGGAACCACUGCGUUAAUGGGUGCGGAGAGAAGUUAAAUUUGAAUGGGGCAGCCGUAAGUAAUAGCAUUUUUAAAGAGAACCACUCGGACAAAAUUCCCGGGAACCGCUUCCAAUUUAUGCUUUAAACUCUCCGGACCCGAGCGAAAUGGCGUAAAUGUCGGGUCUAACCGUCAGUUUACAUAAACCAAUGGUUGAAAGGGUAUUUUCGAUACGUGUAAUUAAGAAACUCCUGGAAAUAUCCGCCAGGCGUAGAUGGAAUUUACCACCACCAUUCCCGAUUUUGCCGGAUAGCCCGCCUUAGAUAUCAGUCCACGGCCAACCGUAAACGGGACUACUAACGGUCUAUCCCAUCCGGCCAGAUUUAGAUGGUCCAAUCGUUAAAAUAAAGCCCGCGGCCCACAUAGUCGGUGGUCGGAGAGGAGCCUGUAAAAAUUUCAACACGGUGGACCUACAUUAAUAUCCGCCUAUUUUUCGGCCCUUGAGCGGAACCGCGGCUACUCCGCUAUACGUCGCACCAAAAAGUAUUCAACGGACGGCGGCGCCCCUUCCUCCUGAAGAAUGAUCGGCUGGCCAUUAAAACCCCGCCAACGGUCCGUUCCACCCGUCCUGCCCGACGGAGGGCCACCGGUUCCCGACUUACUAGAGUACAAACCGGGAGGGAAAGGCCGACCCCUCCCAGUCCACCUUCCCUUCUCCAGAAAAAUUGGCUAAACGAGACCGAAUAUUAACCGAUAGAAUUCCCUGGCCGAGAACACUGGGGUGGGUAAAAUUCCUAGGGUGGAAAGAGUGGUUCCAUUUGGGUCCGUCUCUUUUCCUUCUUUAACGUAAAUAUGGGUGACGGUACGGUCCGUUGCCCAGACGGGUCCGAAACUAGGCCACUGCGAAAUUUUAAUCGGCGGGGCACCUUCUGCCCCGGUAAGAAAAAGUAGAAUUUCCGCCGGUGGGGACACUAAAACGCCGAUUUGUCUAUGGCAGCGGUUUAUCCGAAAAUAUUCUGCAAAGACGGGCUAACCGGUGGAAGCGUCCACCCCCGGCUCUAGGUGCCGUCAUCGGCCAGAAAGACGGGACCCAGCCGUUCCGGGGUGGUGGCCAUUCUCCGGACCGACCGCCAUGGCAAAUGGCUAGCCUGGGGUGGUGGGCCCGAAGAAACCGUGGGCGGCCGACUUAACCGUGGCCGAAUUUUAAGCCACCAUUUCUUACGGUGUAGUACGGUUUGACCUACCGUGCUCUAGCUAGGAUAAAUAAACCCCGAGAAAUUUGUUACGUCAUAUAGGCCCUAAUAACUUUUAAAGUCCUAGCUAAUGGAGCUACCGGCCGGUAGCCCGGGGAAUUUACAGAAUUCUCCGUGGAAAGUUUCGGAAAAUUUGUAGGCGGCAGCCCGUCCAAACUGGGCCCCAGGUUGGUAGGUUAAAGCCCGGGUUCUCGGUCUAUCUGUGUCCGGACCGGGUAAGGCGCAAAACUUCGUCUAGCUCGGCUGGGGUUAUGACUUUUAUGCCGCCACCGAAAUUUUGGCGCUACUAACUUUGGUGACAUUUCGAAAAUUAACUAAACCGGAUAUACCUCACCGGCCUAAUUAUCGACCGUUUCUCUCCUUACCGUAAAUAGCGGACGGAGACCCGCGGGCCCGGGCCAAACCACGGUCGGGAUAAUAGGGUAGGCUACUAAGGCGGGCGGAUAUUUAUUUUUCCCCAUCCCCUUGGACUAAAUAGGAUGGUGGUGUCCAGACUUUAAAUAUAAAUUCCACUAGCCGCAUCCUCCGCUGACCAGAGAAAACAUUUUCUGCGUCGCCUUCCACCAACGCCAUUCUAUGGCGGCCCCACCCGUACCGCUUUCCCAGUUUGCGCUAAAAUAUAGACGCCGAUAACGUUACUUAGCGGGCUGGCCCAGACGGGAAUUUUAUCCAUAACCAAAUUUAUUUUUUAGUAACUAAUUAGGUUUCGAUGGAGAACGGUGAGGAGGGGAGACGGGACGGAUUUACGCCUUAGAUAGGACCGACGGGGCCAGAAUGGCCCGGGCUAACUCGUUCGUUUAUUCGUCCACUUCAGUUAGGCGUCUAUUUAUCGAGAACACCGGAGCCAAAAACAGACCCGUUUCCCAUUUUCCGACGGACCGCUACGAAAACAACACCGUUGGGUUAAUUUUGUGAUCGGGUGGGAAUUUCCCUAUUUAUGUAUUUCCCAUAUAUAUUGUAAGUUUCGGCUGCUAACGCUCCCACUGGCCUAGUCUCGGUACUUGGGUCUGCCAGUUCCCUCUCUCCUCACCCUUCCGUCCUCUUCUAUUUUCCGUUCUCUCACCGGAUACCCGGUAAAACGGCUAGUAAAAUUCUUCGGGCCGGCCCCAGGCCCGGGGUGGGAGGGUCGAUAUCGACCGCCGUUAAGGGUAUUGGCCCGCGGCUAAAUGAUGGUCGGAGAGAAAAGAGAGGAGACGGAAUCCGGCCCCGGCCUAGCCCACCGUUAAAUUGGGCGGGAAUAAUUAGGAAAGGGAGGCCGAAAUUAGAGUCAGUGUCGGUAGAAGAAGGGAUCGGAACUGGCCGUUGACGGAGGCGGGCCCCCCAGGUCCGUUAACCGAAAGGCCCGUAAGUUGGUAAAAGGGACACCGACCUUGGCUCCGGAAAUUCAGCCAGCCCACCGGCUGAUAAGAAACGUUUGCCGGCCGAGGCGGUUCGGACGUUUAUAACGUCGUCUGUCUAAUCACUGGUACCGACCUUGGCCGUCGAUUUAUCCAAUUCGGCCCAACUUUUCCAGACAUUGUGCAUGCCUCCGAAGGCUUUCUUUAAAACGGAGAGGUGCUACGUAUGGCAUCGGCCGCUUCCGUUCUUCCAAAAGAAGACCACCACACCCGAGCUCCGGCAGGGUAGUAAAUAAGCGGACAUCGGGCCCAAAAUAUUUGGAAAUUUCUCUGGAAAGAAGCGGAAAAACCCAGCUUGUUAAAUAUAUAAAUAAAAGCGUAUAUAGAAAGUCUUUUCGGCCAUCCUCACCGGAGAAGGGCCUACUUUCCUGCCCUUCUUCGGUAGAAUGUCCGUUACCGAAAACGUUUCCGAGUUGCGAAAGUUUUCCGACUACUUUUAGUCGGAAAACUUCUCGGCAACGCCAAACCUCGUCCGCUCCGCUCGGAAAGAACUUUCCACAAGAAUUCGGAAAGAAACGAAAUAACCGGUCGACUAUUCAAGUUUUUUCGUAUUGGCCUUAUCCGGUAGUUGGUCGAGACGUCUUCCGCUUCACCCGCCCUGGUCCGGAUUUUAGCUCACCUUCUAGUCGGUACGGCCUGGGUCACUCCUGCCCAGUCCCUUUUACCCGCCACCCAAUCGGCUCCCUGGCGGAGAAGAGAAAGGGCCUUCCCUUUCUCGGUGGCACCCCGGCCCCUCCACCUAGCCCACAGACCCCGGCGGGAAGUGGACGCCCUAAUCGGCUCUGGCGCUUCCACUGGUUAAACUCGAAUUCCUGGGCUCUCCCCACCCCCAUUAAGUAAAUAAAUGCCAGAAUCGAAGACUAAUAAACACCUGGCCCGGUGGACGUCGGGGUCCGACCGAUGGCUGCUGCGCCAAUAAGCGUUAUCCGAGCGUCCCCGCCAUUUACGACCUAUUAAAACUGUGUUUUAUGGCGUCCUUCCCGCUCCUAAAUCCAGUCGGACAUUCGUCGACAACUUGUUCCUCCCCUAGCUCUUCUUCUCCUAUAAACGCUAGGGUAGGCCCGACCGACCUCCCGGCCCUCUCUGGUCCUCCGGUACCUCCGGAGGGAGUCUUCCCCCGCCGGAUCCCCGGCUGGCGCUCCCUUUUUCCUAACGGCGCGCACAUUCACCUAUUUUCUUUUUUCUUUGUUGGUAGACGUCAAGCUCUGCUCCUCAGCCAGCAACAACCUCUGCCUCCGGCCGCCCCU
rnacentral:lncRNA from 1 species